GGUUCUGUAGCUCAGAGGUUAGAGCAGGGGAUUCAUAAGCCCAAGGUCGCAGGUUCAAUUCCAGCCCGAACCA
rnacentral:tRNA from 1 species